GCCUUGGUGGUACAGUAUUUAAGGCAUAUCUCGGGAAAGGGUGAGAUGCGGGUUCGAUUCCCGCACGAGGCU